UGGUAUAGAAACUUGAUCAGUUUAAAUUAAUAUCCAUUCCCCCUCACUUCAAAAAACCCCUUCUCGGGACACACACCCCGCUACAACAUCAGAACCAGACCAAAUGCAGGAGGAUCCCAAUUCAAAUCCCUCUCAUGUAAAAUCAAAUCCAGAACACAAACACAAACAUAAACAUCCAACAAAACCCCAAAUCUAACCAACACAAACCAAAACCACCAAACCAUUAGCAAGUCAUGAACUUCCAUUAAAUUGAACACAACCAAAUGGAUCCACAACUCCAAUUUCAGUCAACCUCGAAUCAAUUACAAAAGUUGGAACAGCCAGAUAUUUAAAGUAGACUUUGUGAUGAGAAAAAAAACUUAACAUUAUAAGGUAUAAACAUAAUCAAACUGGAAUGGCUACAUACACAAUCUUUUCAGCACACUGACAACUGGAGGCUUAUUCCACCAAUUCAACUGAAGCUGCACUUUUAAUCCUAAUUCCUCAUUUUAAAAUAUGCAAGAUAGACCUUUUCCAAAAUGUUUAUGAGGUAUAAACAUAAUCAAACUGGAAUGGCUACAUACACAAU
rnacentral:lncRNA from 1 species